AUCUAAAGCCAUAGCAUUCUGAAAGAAUUUGGUCUCAUCUGAUAUCUGAAACUAAGCAGAGUCAAGUUUGGUUAGUAUUUAGAUGGGAGAUUGCCUGUAAAUGCCAGGUGUGGUGAACU
rnacentral:rRNA from 1 species